UACAGAGGUCUCAAGCGUUGUUCGGAUUCAUUGGGCGUAAAGGGUGCGUAGGCGGCGCGGUAAGUCGGGUGUGAAAUCUCGGGGCUUAACUCCGAAACUGCAUUCGAUACUGCCGUGCUUGAGGACUGGAGAGGAGACUGGAAUUUACGGUGUAGCGGUGAAAUGCGUAGAUAUCGUAAGGAAGACCAGUGGCGAAGGCGGGUCUCUGGACAGUUCCUGACGCUGAGGCACGAAGGCCAGAGGAGCAAACGGG
rnacentral:rRNA from 1 species